rnacentral:rRNA from 1 species
GGGUGGUAAUACCGGAUGCUCCGCUCCAUCGCAUGGUGGGGUGGGAAAUGCUUUUGCGGCAUGGGAUGGGGUCGCGUCCUAUCAGCUUGUUGGCGGGGUGAUGGCCCACCAAGGCGUUGACGGGUAGCCGGCCUGAGAGGGUGACCGGCCACAUUGGGACUGAGAUACGGCCCAGACUCCUACGGGAGGCAGCAGUGGGGAAUAUUGCACAAUGGGCGCAAGCCUGAUGCAGCGACGCCGCGUGCGGGAUGGAGGCCUUCGGGUUGUAAACCGCUUUUGUUCAAGGGCAAGGCACGGUUUCGGCCGUGUUGAGUGGAUUGUUCGAAUAAGCACCGGCUAACUACGUGCCAGCAGCCGCGGUAAUACGUAGGGUGCGAGCGUUAUCCGGAUUUAUUGGGCGUAAAGGGCUCGUAGGCGGUUCGUCGCGUCCGGUGUGAAAGUCCAUCGCCUAACGGUGGAUCUGCGCCGGGUACGGGCGGGCUGGAGUGCGGUAGGGGAGACUGGAAUUCCCGGUGUAACGGUGGAAUGUGUAGAUAUCGGGAAGAAC